rnacentral:lncRNA from 14 species
CCCAAAAUAAGCAGGAAUGGGCAGUGACUAGGCACAGUCUCUACACACCUUUUUCCAUGGAGUAAUUAAGGCCUGCCUCAGAGUGAGAGAGCACUCCCUGCCCAGCUGUGUGAGGCAGAGCUGACAGCACUACCACCACCACCAUCACCAAGCAUGAAGCUCCUAUGGAUUGCCUUCUUUUUCUUAGCUUCACUCUGUGUUUGCACUGUGGGAGAAAAUGGUAUUGAGCCCAGUACUGCCAGUGCAACUGUUUCUGCCUCAACAUCAAAAUCUGUAACAGAAGCUUUAACUGCAUCAACUUCACAAGCAACAGCAUUUCAAGCAUCAGUGCUGACAACAACUGCAAUCAGAGCUACAGAUGAGCCUAUCGCAAGUAGCUCUGCGCCUUCUGCAGCUACUGCUACACAACAAAUAACACAAGUUGCAACAACACAACCAACCAGUAAAAGACGACACCUACAGCAGCAUAUAAAAGUGACAGCACAACAAACACUACACAAGCAAAUGGAACACAGUUGGCACAAAAUGAGAGUUCAGAUGCUUCAUCCACUAAGGGAUGGCCUUCUUCAUCCACUGAGGGGUGGUCCUUUUCGUCUACAACCUCUCUACAAAAAACCACUUCUGCUCCUGGAACCUCAGGCCUUCACGUGA